UGGGGGAUAUUGCACAAUGGGCGAAAGCCUGAUGCAGCGACGCCGCGUGGGGGAUGAAGGCCUUCGGGUUGUAAACUUCUUUUGCUCUGAACAAGGCAUGCUAAUGGGUGUGUUGAGUGUAGGGGUUGAUUAGCGCCGGCUAACUACGUGCCAGCAGCCGCGGUAAUACGUAGGGCGCGAGCGUUGUCCGGAAUUAUUGGGCGUAAAGGGCUUGUAGGUGGCUGGUUGCGUCAGUCGUGAAAGCUCAUGGCUUAACUGUGGGUUGGCGGUGGGUACGGGCUGGCUUGAGUGCGGUAGGGGAGGCUGGAAUUCCUGGUGUAGCGGUGGAAUGCGCAGAUAUCAGGAAGAAUACCGGUGGCGAAGGCGGGUCUCUGGGCUGUUACUGACACUGAGUAGCGAAAGCAUGGGGAGCGAACAGG
rnacentral:rRNA from 1 species